rnacentral:rRNA from 1 species
ACAAGUGUAUAUUAAAGUUGUUGCAGUUAAAAAGCUCGUAGUUGGAUAUCUGUUUUGACUGACCUAGCCCUGGGCCUUCGGGAUUCCGGUGUGCUGGUUGUGGCGACCUCUGCUUCGGCGGUUGUGUUGCCCGUCAUGUCUGACAUACUUCAGGAAAUCUAUCCUGCCAUUGAUUUGGUUGGGGUAAGGAUCCUGAUCGUUUACUUCGAAAAAAUUAGAGUGUUUAACGCAGGCUUUUGUGUCGCGAAUAGAUUAGCAUGGAAUAAUAAGAUAGGACUUCGGCAUCGUUAGUGAGUGCCUUUGUGUGUGGCUAGCACGUAGCCUUCGGGUUGCGUUGUUGGUUGCUUGCUUUGGAUUUACGCUUGCUAGCCGUUCUAUUUUGUUGGUUUCUAGAGCUGAAGUAAUGAUUGAUAGGGAUAGUUGGGGGUGCUCGUAUUGCCGGGCCAGAGGUGAAAUUCUCGGAUUCUGGUAAGACGAACUUAUGCGAAAGCAUUCACCAAGGAUGUCUUCUUUAA